rnacentral:rRNA from 1 species
CAGUAGCCACGGUAAUACGAAGGUCCCGAGCGUUGUUCGGAAUCACUGGGCGUAAAGGGAGCGUAGGCGGCGUGGUAAGUCAGAUGUGAAAUCCCGGGGCUCAACCCCGGAACUGCAUCCGAUACUGCCAUGCUAGAGGAUUGGAGAGGUAGCUGGAAUUCUUGGUGUAGCAGUGAAAUGCGUAGAGAUCAAGAGGAACACUCGUGGCGAAAGCGAGCUACUGGACAAUAACUGACGCUGAGGCUCGAAGGCCAGGGUAGCGAAAGGGAUUAGAUACCCCAGUAGUCCCUGUCUCUUAUAU